GAUGAAGAACGUAGUGAAAUGCGAUAAGUAAUGUGAAUUGCAGAAUUCAGUGAAUCAUCGAAUCUUUGAACGCACAUUGCGCCCCCUGGUAUUCCGGGGGGCAUGCCUGUUCGAGCGUCAUUUCACCACUCAAGCCUCGCUUGGUAUUGGGCAACGCGGUCCGCCGCGUGCCUCAAAUCGACCGGCUGGGUCUUCUGUCCCCUAAGCGUUGUGGAAACUAUUCGCUAAAGGGUGUUCGGGAGGCUACGCCGUAAAACAACCCCAUUUCUAAGGUUGACCUCGGAUCAGGUAGGGAUACCCGCUGAACUUAAGCAUAUCAAUAAGCGGAGGA
rnacentral:misc_RNA from 1 species